AGCUUGCAGUUUUGAGAACAUUUAGAGGCAAAUCGGUCAAACUAGCACUUCAGAAAGUGCCACUACAAGUGCAGAGCCUUCACUGUCACUCUUUAACGCUAACGGGCAACGAUAAACAGUUGGGAAAGAAACAAAGAAACCUUCGUACGUAUAUUUCCACAUUUGUCCUCGCCCACUCUACUUCAGAACCAAACCUCGCUAAAACCGAAAUGCAGGACUCGGCUUGUAAGCAGACAAUUGGAGGAAGAUUUCGGAGUGGAUUUAUCGGAUAGGAAACUAUUUAUUGCAGAGCAGGUGGAUUUAUUUCUUCAAAGCCAAUUUGAGAACGCUCAAGAAGACGACUGUGAAAACGAAGAGCAUGAUGAUGACGAUGAUAAUCAGACGGCUAAGGUCAAGUCUGAGAGAAGCGGCGCUUCUGAUGAGGAAGAGGUAGAAGAUGACGAAGAAGCAAGUAACCGAAAGGGUCCCGCAAAAAGACGGUUAGGUCUAAUGAGCUUAAUAAUGAGAUCAAGAAAAGAGGGGGCGGUUUUAGCAAAUUGUGUAGUCUCUCCCCAACUUCAGGAAUUUUUGGGGGUCCCGAACUGGCCAGAACUGAGGUUGUCAAGCAAACGUGGGCCUACAUUAGAGAAAAAGAUUUGCAAGACCCAAGUAAUAGACAAAAUAUGAUUUGUGAUGAACAGCUGCAUGCCCUUCUUGGUGUAGAUACAAUCAACAUGUUUCAAAUGAAUAAGGCCCUGUCUAAGCACAUUUGACCCUUAUAUUCAGUUGUUCAGACCAAGUCAACACCAAAGAAAAGCAUUGGAAGCAAGAGAGAGAAGAAGGUAGAACCAGAAAUUUUUGAUUACCAUUUAAUUUGAUGUGUUGUUGCAGAUGUCACUUCUUGUUGAAGCCAAAACAUAGUCAGAUUCUGAUCUAGUCAUCACCAUGUGUAUUCACUCAUUUCAUUUUGUCUCAUCACUCAGUUUCUUUCGUCCUUUUUUAAUUUGGAUUGAGAAUUAUUUCUUCUUUCCAUUUUCAGCUGUAUUUCAUAUGGGUUUGACUAGGUUAUUCAUUGAUUUUUUAAUUGACUCAAUCUUUUGUUA